AAUGAUGGUUUAAUCCCUUCCCUUACUA
rnacentral:tRNA from 1 species